AUGGGGUAGAAAUUGGCAUGGGUUGUUGGUGAGGUGAUGGACGCUUCCUUCCUUUUCUUCUUCUCAUAGUUAAUUCCUCGGCUUUGGAUUGCAGAUCACGAACCUCACAAAGGUAGAGACUCACAAGUCGUGCUCCAAAAAGUUCUGCCUCAGGCUUCCCUCCAUUUUCCUCAAAAGAUGCACGUAAACGCCCUAUGAGUGCGUCAAGUCUCCCCCAAGCUUGCCUAAGAGGACAUGGACAUGGCACCAGAGGGUUCAGGUGCCCGUAAAAGGGGCAGAUCGGUGUGUGCACUUUGGUCUUCCCAAAUUGAUCCAGGUACCGUGGGUGGUUUUCUGGAUGACUCUGACAACCACAACAAUUGGAAGGCCAACGAUGACGCCGAAGACGGGGUCGUAUAGCACAUCAGAGAGGUGACGAUGGUUUACCACGACGGAUAUGGUGGUGUCGAAAUUCCUCCGACAAAACCGCUUGCUCCGCAAAUCGUCACUAGAGCGGUUACCUCUGGCAAGAACUCUUGCUCCGAUACUGGUCGUGACUUCAUCAGAGCAAGUUUUGCUGCCAACUUCUUCGCUAGAUACAAUGACAACAUGGUUUCUGCGUUUUGGUGCUCCAUCGUUGUCGUUGCGGAAGCCAUAGGUGAUCUUCGAGAUGCGUUUGUUGGUGGGGACUUCAUGGUCUCCACAGUUGAAAGAUCCAUGUUGAGGACGUGGAAUUGAAGCGGGGGUGAUUUUGAAGCGUUUCCACGGUACCGAACAAGCUUAGCAAUCGGUUUUGGGUGCUCUCGAGAUCAAUCCCAAGGGAUAGAGCUAGAUGUACAUAAGAAAAAUCUAGGUGCUGAAUCGGAAGUGAUGGGUCACAUUAAGCGUUGAACGAAGAUGGUGGUAAUGGGUGGUGGAUAGUUGUUUUGAGAGGCUGCAACGGAAAGAGGUGGGAAGCAGCCAUGGGAGACAGGUCAGACCAAUUGUUAGGAACCAAAAUAUUUUAAGCUAUGCUAAGCUACACUAAAAUAGAAAUGGGUGGGGAGGCAAUGUAAUCUUCAGCUGCUUGUCCCUUACACGUAAUCCUUGAGGUAGCUAGGUCUCUUGGUGAUCCUUAUGAGUCUGCUAGUGGGUGCCGUGAUAUUGGAGUUGCUAUCAGAGGGUCGGUGGUGAAAUGGAACUUGUCGUGGUUGAAGUGGACAAGCUCAACCUUGUUGGUGUAGUCUUCCAUGUAACUACCAAUGGCAAAGCGUGGGCUUUUGUGGCGGCGCAAUGACCAUGCUAGAGAGGAAAUUGGCCACUGAGCAACGUAGGUGUGCACGCCUUGCUUUGCAUUGUGAAGUUAUUAACUUCAAUGGAAUCCAUGGGAAAGCCAAGUAACUUCUGCAUGGAUGAUUGCACAAUUUAUGUGUGAAGUAUUAUUUAUAAUCUUGCUCCAUAAAUAUUUUAAUUAAAUCCCAUGUAAUGAAAGUUUCUUUUAACAAAAGAAUUAUAAUAUAUCGACAUUUUUACAUGUCAAA